ensembl:lncRNA
GCCGAAUCGAGACAAAGGUAAAAAUUUCUGGAUUAACUAUCUAUAAUUUCUGGACUAUUACGCGCACCUGAAUAUAAACCGCACCCACUGAAUUAAAAAAAAUAUAUGUAUUUUGUACAUAAAUAAACCGCACAUGUCUAUAAGCCGCAGGUGCCUACCGGUACAUUGAAACAAAUUAACUUUACACAGCUUUUAAACGAAACACGGCUUGUAACAAAAAUAAAUAGGCUGAAACCACUGAAGUCAUCUCCUUCGGUGUGGGAGUUGAAUAGCUUCAGAGCUGCUGACCCAGACUCGUCCGUACCCUGAUGGACAGGCCUUUACGUCUCAUAAAUCUUAGACACCACGAUGGUCCACCUCUAAAAUCCUCAAACUUCAUUGCGGUGGCGAUUGUUUUGGCUUUCAGUCGGAUCUGCACAGUUGAAACACCUUGGCCGUCUGCUCUCUGUGUGUUGACCCAGUCUUCAAGCUCAUUUUCUAGUUCGGGCCAUCUGCUUUUCUUCCCUCUGAAAGCUUUUGUUGUCUUCUUGCACGGAGUCAGUUCCUCACGCUGCUGUUUCCAACGUCUUAUCAUCGACUCAUUAAGGCCAAGCUCCCGUGCAGCAGCUCUAUUUCCUUUUCCAACAGCCAGAUCGAUCGCCUUCAACUUGAAAGCUGCAUCAUAUGCAUUUCUCCGUGUCUUUGCCAUGAUGAGGGUGACGAAAUGACUACCGUAAUCAGAAUGAUGGGAAGUUUGAGCGCGCUCCAUUUACGUCACAUUAUUAUGUGACGGUGCUCAGUUUUUUGGCGGCAUGAAUCUUGCGAAAGCGGGGAAAAUCCAUAAAUUAGCAGCAUCAUUGUAUAAACCUCGAGGUUCAAAGCGUGGGGAAAAAGUAGCGGCUUAUAGUCCGGAAAUUACGGGUAAAUGUAGUAAUUAAUAAAUUGGCUCCAUUUCUUUAAAUGGUCAAGUCUGUGAACUUUUUUGUGCAAGUUUUUAAAUUGACAGUCCGGAACAGUCCGGCUAGUCGAUUGCCUAUCAACUAGACUCCGUAACAAAUACCUGUUAGCAGAGUUGUCAGCUCGAAAUGACGUGCAGGAGCUUGCAUGAAUUUGUAUUCUUGCAUGAUGUUUACUUUAAUGCUAAUUAGCAUUUUCGAAUCUGAGAGUAAAUAGAGCCAAAUAUAUUGAUAAAAGUCACCUUGUCCCUAGAGAUGUACAUGGUUAUCAAAAUAUCACGCUAGUGUAAGCCAACACGAAGCACAGCCCUUAUUUGAAGUGUUUCUAAAAUCCCCUAUGAGAAAAAUGAAUGGUGGAAAACCAAUUGGAACCAUUUCCCUGUUUGACAGCGAGGUUUUAUGGGUAUUAUAACACCUCCAUUCUGCACUAACUGUGAUUUUUAUUUAGACAUUUGGAACAACACAAAUAAAUAAUCAUAACAUUUAAAACUAUAUAACUAUUAAAACACAUACAAAAAUACACAUAAAUAUCAAAAAUAAGUAACAAAGACUAAUAGAAACAAACUGUAGUAUAUAAAUACAAAUAAAAAAGAGAAUUUAAUUAUUACACUAUUAACCUAUUGCUAACAGAAAAACACAGUACAGUGUUUCUGUGUGUCCCCUUAGUGCCAGAUUUCUAAUUGCCAGAGACUGCACAAUAGCAGUCAGACAUGUCAACACCUCUCUCCAUCUUAUCCUCUCAGCCUCCAUAAGGGCCAUCUCAUGCUUAUCAAUUGUUUCCCCUUUUUUGAUCCUCAUUGUUUUUUCCAUGUUUUCAUGCAGUUUUGGUGUUCUGGACUGCUGUCGCGUGAAGUCAGCAAAGAACUUGCAUGUUUCCAGUCUGUCAGUCCUGAGUUUUCUAAAUACAUUUUCUUCUCAGAAAAGAGUUUGCAGCAGAAACAGAAGAGGCUGUUGUUUUUCUUUCAGAAUGCACCAACCAACUUCUAGGGAUUUUUUUCACCACUCACCAAGGUCUUCCUGAAAUACUGGUGGUGGCAACUUCUUCCAUCACUCUCAUUCCUUGGGGGGAAAAAAAGUCAGGUGGUACCUCACUUGGUCCUCUGCAAACUAGUUGUGUCUGAAUUCUGUCAGUCAGAACUGAAGGCCAGUCAGUAGGGUCAUCAGACAGUGGUUCAUCCUCAGCAGCAGGGUCUGUAGACAGUGGUUCAUCCUCAGCAGCAGGGUCUGUAGACAGUGAUUCAUCCUCAGCAGCAGGGUCUGUAGACAGUGGUUCAUCCUCAGCAGCAGGGUCUGUAGACAGUGAUUCAUCCUCAGCAGCAGGGUCUGUAGACAGUGAUUCAUCCUCAGCAGCAGGGUCUGUAGAGAGUGGUUCAUCCUCAACAGCAGGGUCUGUAGACAGUGGUUCAUCCUGAGCAGCAGGGUCUGUAGACAGUGGUUCAUCCUCAACAGCAGGGUCUGUAGACAGUGGUUCAUCCUCAGCAGCAGGGUUUGGUGGGAAUGCUGCUACAGGCAUUUCUAAUGGAGAGCACAUGGGCAU